ensembl:lincRNA Platr13 pluripotency associated transcript 13
CAUUCAAAAAAAAGUCACCCUGACCCACCCUGACCAUUGCUUGAACCCGCUAUACAAAUGUGCUAUUGUUAGGGGCUCUUAGAAACCGUCUUGAGAAAUAACCCACACACAAUUACCAGCUGUCCUUUUGGGCCGUAAGGACAGGAGGACUGUGGUCGGCAGGCGUGCUAGGAGGACCACAGGCUGUUGCCCUGGGAGACGCCCUGGGAACCUCAACCCCAGCCGCUGGGGGAAACCAGAACCCCUCCAGGCGGCGGGAGGCGGACCGCUGUGGGUACAUGGAGCUGCAGAGCACAGAGUCUGGGUGGACUCUGGUGGACCUGCCCAAACUUCAAACCCUUCAGUACUGGUCAUUUUCCUCUGCUGGUCUUUAUAACUGGAAAA